rnacentral:rRNA from 1 species
AUGAUGGAUGAUGUGUACAUUUACCACGCGCACAAUUUCUUUGGUUUGUGUUUCUUUUGUGUAGGUACCCAUGAAUACUUGUCAACCUCACAAUCCCAUGAGUUGACAAAACGAGCUCUAGAGAGCAACGAUGACUUUGGAUCACAUGGAUUGCCUUUCCCACCGCUCUCUUCGCGCAAAUACUUCGCGCAUUUCUUCUACAUGGCUCUCACAUGGUUAUGGGUUAUUUACCACUUCUCACUUUAUGCCCAUAGUGCCAUGUUCACUUUGCAUGAUAUGCUCAUUCCUAUGCCUUUGCCAUGCAUUUGUGACCCAUGCUUUGCAUUACACAUGAUGAUUGAUUCUACUACUUGUAUGUGUAUUUGCAAGCUUGGUGGAGAUAUUGCUUGUUAUUGCCAUGUUCCAUUUAUGCCACAUUCCUACGAUGAUACUAUGAUCUUGCUUUGUGUUCGUGCUUGCGAUAUGCCAUGUGCACUAUCUAGGCUUAUUAUUUAG